ACAAAAUGAACAGAGAAGCUUUGAUUUUAAGAAGAGAGGAUACACACAAAGAGUACGAUAAACAACUGUACAAAAAUGGAGAGAGAGAAAAGUUGACCAAUGAUCAUAAGUUGGUAAAUUAGUUGUAAAAAUUAAUUAUCAGCUUAAUUUUAACACCGUAGUCCACAUACUGCUAAAUACUCCAGACAAGCAAUCUCUUUUCAGUUAUAACUACAAGUCCAUAGACUUUCAUUGCUACUCCAUUUUGUGUCCUCCUCAAUUUCAUCGCCUCUUACAGCAAAUGACCAACCCAACUCCUAUAAAAUUCCAGGAAAAACAAGGGUUUUUUCAUUCAUUACAGUAACUCAAAACCGUUGUGUGUUGUUCGAGUAAUUGUGUGUAUACAGAGAGAAUUUGAUUGUCAUACAAUUGAAAUACCCCCCAUGGCGCUGGAGAGUCCAGUACCCGAAAUCCGACAGAGUCCGGUAAGGUACCCGGAAGUUGAUUUGUUGGAUCUGAAUUUAACACAACAACUACCCAGUAUAGUCUCAUAAAGUGGGGUCUGCGGAGGGUAAUAUGUAGACGGGCCUUACCCUACCCGAAAGGGCAGAGAGGCUGUUUCCAAUCGAN
rnacentral:lncRNA from 1 species